rnacentral:lncRNA from 1 species
CUUCAAAGUAAAGGUGAGCUUAUGCUCAUUACAACAUUUGCAUAAAACAAAUUACUUUAAAGUAAAGAAGGGCUUAUGCCCUUUUACAACAUUUGAUCAAAUCAAAUUACAACCAAAAUCUAAUCUACACAUUCCCAUGGUUCAAAUAAAUUUGAAACGGCCUUUCACAUAGCUCAAUUAUAUUAGACUUAGGUUCAUAAUCAUCCUUUAAUUAAUUAACACUUUAACUAAUUAAAUU